UCGGCAACGGAUAUCUCGGCUCUCGCAUCGAUGAAGAACGUAGCGAAAUGCGAUACUUGGUGUGAAUUGCAGAAUCCCGUGAACCAUCGAGUCUUUGAACGCAAGUUGCGCCUGAAGCCAUUCGGCCGAAGGCACGUCUGCCUGGGCGUCACGUACCCAAUCGCUCCCCAAAACCUCCCACAUCUCUACCGAUUUGUGGAGGGCUCGGAGGGCGGAGAUUGGCCUCCCGUGCUGUAACG
rnacentral:rRNA from 1 species